UACGGAGGAUCCGAGCGUUAUCCGGAUUUAUUGGGUUUAAAGGGUGCGUAGGCGGCCUAUUAAGUCAGGGGUGAAAGACGGUAGCUUAACUAUCGCAGUGCCUUUGAUACUGAUAGGCUUGAAUAUACUUGAGGUAGGCGGAAUGUGACAAGUAGCGGUGAAAUGCAUAGAUAUGUCACAGAACACCAAUUGCGAAGGCAGCUUACUAAAGUAUGAUUGACGCUGAGGCACGAAAGCGUGGGGAUCAAACAGG
rnacentral:rRNA from 1 species